CCAUCUGUAAUGAGAUCAGGUGCUCUCAUCUGGCACGCAGGGAUACAUGCAGACAGAACUCUGUCUAUAUAAUUAAUAAAUAAAUCUUUAAAAUAAAUAAAUAAAAAGAAUGCUGAGUCUCUGAAUACCAAUGUGAAGACAGCUGAGGAAAUUUUGGAAACUCUGGGCAAGUUGACUUCAGGGAAAACUCACUUACUAGAGCAAAUGUUCAACAUAGAUAAAAUUCCCCUGUUCUGGUGAUGAUGCCUGAGGGGACUUUCCCAUUUAGGAGGGCAAGUCAAUGCUGGAUUUAAGGCUUACACACAGAUCACUGUCUGGCUUGAGGGUAACUGAUGCAGGCUACAAGCUGAAACCCUUUGUGAUCUGGCAUAGUGAGAGCCCCCAAGGCUUUCAAGUGCGCAAAUGUGCCUGCACCACCAGUGUGCAACAGAAACAGAAGUCCUGGCAAUGACCUGGUAGCAUGUAAAUCAGUUCUUCUCCCACGAUGCUGUCUUGAGUUGCCACAGCAGCAAAGCAAAGAAACACUUCUUGGAGAAAGGUCUUUCAAGGAUUUCUUUACUGUUACUGAUGUUCCCACGCAUCAGCCCUUUUGUUGGUAUUGCACUAAGCACCACUCUGCUUUGCCCCAGCCAUUGCUGUAACAGAAAAGACACAGACACAGCUCUUUGGGAAUUAAAACAUCCAUGACUGCAUCAAGAAUCUUGUUUGGAUUUGAGGUGAUAACAUAAAGGAGUUUAAGGGUGGCAUCUGAAAGAAGACAAGAGGUUUGCCCGUGGUUUUAAAGGGUUUACCAAGGAUGAGGAGCUUGCAAAACUCAACAAGCUGCAGCUGAGCAGGCAACAAACUUGACCCGAGGAUGACACUUAGGAGCUCCUGAGGAAGUGACUAAUGAAGAUUUGUUACCGCAAGAAGAGGGACACAGAGCUGGAGACGAGAGAGGAAAAGGGAAACUGGAGAAGUCCAAGAAAGAGAAGAAGGCCAAGAAGGGCCACAGAAUCUAGCAGAAAUUUCUAUAGCCCUCAAUAAUCUUCAAAAGUUUGAACACGUGACUCCCAGAGCAAACAUUUCCACGGAUUGAGGAAUAUUCGAGCAAUGGCUUGGGUGGAGCACAGAGUGAUGCUCGGAGGGAAGGUGUCACUUUGAUACUCUGAUGCGAGUACAAAAGGGCUGAUGUGUGGGAACACCAGUGCAGGACAGGAACCCUUGAAAGAUGUUUCUCCAAGCAAUGCUUCUCGGCUUUGCUGGCAUGGCAGUUCAAGAGUGCUUUGUGGGAGAAGAGCUGAGUCACCAUGACACACUGUUCCUGCUGCACACUGAAAGGAGGAUGCCCCUCAAUAGGUUGCAAGGCCUUCGUGAGAGGUUCCAGCAGAAGACAUUGUCACAGGAGAUGGCAGCUCCGGGAAGAAAAAUGUUAGACACAUUCAAGAGGGAUUAUCUGAGCAGGGGACAGACUGACAAAGCAGAUGGUACUUGUGGUGAAGGAGGUCCAGAGAACUCUAUCACACAGUCAGAAGAUGCUGCUGAAGGACAGAGAUAGCGUGCAGUUUGGUAUGUGUCUUAAAUGAACAUAUUUCCUUAGUUUGUAGUCUGUGGCUUGCAGAAAACUCAUGAUUAGCCAGGUUUCAGCCACUAGUUUUAAGACUAUAUUAUCUUACUAGGUCAAUUUAGGGUAAGGCAAGCUUAAUUUAACUCAGCGCUUCUCAACCUUCCUAAUGCUUCGACCCUUUAAUACACUCCCUCGUGUUGUGGUGACCUCCCAACUUUUGUUAUGAAUCAUAAUGCAAAAAGUCUGUGUUUCCUGAUGGUCUCACGUGACCCCUGGGAAGGGUCCAAUGGGCCAAGACAUACAAGUUGAGAACCAUUCAUUGAUUUAACUUAAAGUAUUUGAGUUUCUUGGGAGGGAGCAGAUUUAGA